rnacentral:rRNA from 1 species
GACAGAGGUGCCGAGCGUUAGGCGGAAUCACUGGGCUUCAAGCGUGUGUAGGCGGGUCGUUAAGUGUCUUGUGAAAUCUCCCGGCUCAACCGGGGAAUGGCUGGGCAUACUGGCGAUCUUGAGCAGUCUAGGGGCAGAUGGAACAAGUGGUGGAGCGGUGAAAUGCGUAGAUAUCACUUGGAACGCCAAAGGUGAAAACAGUCUGCUGGGGACUUGCUGACGCUGAGACACGAAAGCCAGGGGAGCGAACGGG